rnacentral:rRNA from 1 species
GAUGAACGCUAGCUGCAGGCCUAAUACAUGCAAGUCGAACGAGAUUACGAGGCUUGCUUCUUAUGAAAGUGGCGCACGGGUGCGUAACGCGUAUGCAACCUACCUUAAUCAGGGGGAUAGCCCGAAGAAAUUCGGAUUAAGACCGCAUAAAAACACAGGAUAGCAUUAUCCAAUGUUCAAAUAUUUAUAGGAUUAAGAUGGGCAUGCGUGUCAUUAGCUAGUUGGCGGGGUAACGGCCCACCAAGGCGACGAUGACUAGGGGAUCUGAGAGGAUGACCCCCCACACUGGUACUGAGACACGGACCAGACUCCUACGGGAGGCAGCAGUAAGGAAUAUUGAGCAAUGGAGGGAACUCUGAACCAGCCAUGCCGCGUGCAGGAAGACAGCCCUCUGGGUCGUAAACUGCUUUUAUUCGGGAAUAAACCUUUCUACGUGUAGGAAGCUGAAUGUACCGAAGGAAUAAGGAUCGGCUAACUCCGUG